CCUACGGGAGGCAGCAGUGGGGAAUCUUGUGCAAUGGACGAAAGUCUGACACAGCCACGCCGCGUGCGGGAAGAAGGCCUUCGGGUUGUAAACCGCUUUCAGCAGGAACGAAAAUGACGGUACCUGCAGAAGAAGAUGCGGCCAACUACGUGCCAGCAGCCGCGGUGAUACGUAGGCAUCAAGCGUUGUCCGGAUUUAUUGGGCGUAAAGAGCUCGUAGGCGGUUCAGCAAGUCGGGUGUGAAAACUCUGGGCUUAACCCAGAGCCUGCACUCGAAACUGCUGUGACUAGAGUUCGGUAGGGGAGCAGGGAAUUCCUAGUGUAGCGGUGAAAUGCGCAGAUAUUAGGAGGAACACCAAUGGCGAAGGCACUGCUCUGGGCCGAUACUGACGCUGAGGAGCGAGAGCGUGGGUAGCAAACAGGAUUAGAUACCCUGGUAGUCCACGCCGUAAACGAUGGGCACUAGGUGUGGGUCUCUAACCAACGAGAUCUGCGCCGUCGCUAACGCAUUAAGCGCCCCGCGUGGGGAGGUACGGUCGCGAGACGAACGUACGAAGAGUAGUACGACGUCGAGAGACGACGACGACGACGACGACGGAGGAGGAGG
rnacentral:rRNA from 1 species